rnacentral:rRNA from 1 species
GACGAACGCUGGCGGCGUGCUUAACACAUGCAAGUCGAACGGAAAGGCCCUGCUUGCAGGGUACUCGAGUGGCGAACGGGUGAGUAACACGUGGGUGAUCUGCCCUGCACUUCGGGAUAAGCCUGGGAAACUGGGUCUAAUACCGGAUAGGAGCCAUUUUUAGUGUGAUGGUUGGAAAGUUUUUUCGGUGUAGGAUGAGCUCGCGGCCUAUCAGCUUGUUGGUGGGGUAAUGGCCUACCAAGGCGGCGACGGGUAGCCGGCCUGAGGGGGUGGACGGCCACAUUGGGACUGAGAAACGGCCCAGACUCCGACGGGAGGCAACAGGGGGGAAUAUUGCACAAGGGGCGCGAGCCUGGUGCAGCGACGCCGCGUGGGGGAUGACGGCCUUCGGGUUGGAAACACCUUUCGCCAGGGACGAAGCUUUUUGUGACGGUACCUAGAGAAGAAGCACCGGCUAACUACGUG